rnacentral:hammerhead_ribozyme from 1 species
AUCCAGCUGACGAGUCCCAAAUAGGACUAAAUGGGCAUCGUGGAU